UUAAAUUGAAGAGUUUGAUCAUGGCUCAGAUUGAACGCUGGCGGCAGGCCUAACACAUGCAAGUCGAACGGUAACAGGAAGCAGCUUGCUGCUUUGCUGACGAGUGGCGGACGGGUGAGUAAUGUCUGGGAAACUGCCUGAUGGAGGGGGAUAACUACUGGAAACGGUAGCUAAUACCGCAUAACGUCGCAAGACCAAAGAGGGGGACCUUMGGGCCUCUUGCCAUCGGAUGUGCCCAGAUGGGAUUAGCUAGUAGGUGGGGUAAYGGCUCACCUAGGCGACGAUCCCUAGCUGGUCUGAGAGGAUGACCAGCCACACUGGAACUGAGACACGGUCCAGACUCCUACGGGAGGCAGCAGUGGGGAAUAUUGCACAAUGGGCGCAAGCCUGAUGCAGCCAUGCCGCGUGUAUGAAGAAGGCCUUCGGGUUGUAAAGUACUUUCAGCGGGGAGGAAGGGAGUAAAGUUAAUACCUUUGCUCAUUGACGUUACCCGCAGAAGAAGCACCGGCUAACUCCGUGCCAGCAGCCGCGGUAAUACGGAGGGUGCAAGCGUUAAUCGGAAUUACUGGGCGUAAAGCGCACGCAGGCGGUUUGUUAAGUCAGAUGUGAAAUCCCCGGGCUCAACCUGGGAACUGCAUCUGAUACUGGCAAGCUUGAGUCUCGUAGAGGGGGGUAGAAUUCCAGGUGUAGCGGUGAAAUGCGUAGAGAUCUGGAGGAAUACCGGUGGCGAAGGCGGCCCCCUGGACGAAGACUGACGCUCAGGUGCGAAAGCGUGGGGAGCAAACAGGAUUAGAUACCCUGGUAGUCCACGCCGUAAACGAUGUCGACUUGGAGGUUGUGCCCUUGAGGCGUGGCUUCCGGAGCUAACGCGUUAAGUCGACCGCCUGGGGAGUACGGCCGCAAGGUUAAAACUCAAAUGAAUUGACGGGGGCCCGCACAAGCGGUGGAGCAUGUGGUUUAAUUCGAUGCAACGCGAAGAACCUUACCUGGUCUUGACAUCCACGGAAGUUUUCAGAGAUGAGAAUGUGCCUUCGGGAACCGUGAGACAGGUGCUGCAUGGCUGUCGUCAGCUCGUGUUGUGAAAUGUUGGGUUAAGUCCCGCAACGAGCGCAACCCUUAUCCUUUGUUGCCAGCGGUCCGGCCGGGAACUCAAAGGAGACUGCCAGUGAUAAACUGGAGGAAGGUGGGGAUGACGUCAAGUCAUCAUGGCCCUUACGACCAGGGCUACACACGUGCUACAAUGGCGCAUACAAAGAGAAGCGACCUCGCGAGAGCAAGCGGACCUCAUAAAGUGCGUCGUAGUCCGGAUUGGAGUCUGCAACUCGACUCCAUGAAGUCGGAAUCUAGCUUAACCUUCGGGAGGGCGCUUACCACUUUGUGAUUCAUGACUGGGGUGAAGUCGUAACAAGGUAACCGUAGGGGAACCUGCGGUUGGAUCACCUCCUUACCUUAAAGAAGC
rnacentral:rRNA from 1 species